rnacentral:snoRNA from 1 species
CUGCAGACCUUUUCCAGCGAGGCUCAGCCUGCAGUGGCUCCUUCCUUUCCUGUAGUGUCUGCUAGAGAGAUGUGAGGCUGUUUGAGGCCCUGCUGUGUCUCCUCAUGGCAGGGUUAUAGGUAAACCUCCAACAACC